UGGGGAAUAUUGCACAAUGGGCGCAAGCCUGAUGCAGCCAUGCCGCGUGUGUGAAGAAGGCCUUCGGGUUGUAAAGCACUUUCAGCGGGGAGGAAGGCGAUAAGGUUAAUAACCUUGUCGAUUGACGUUACCCGCAGAAGAAGCACCGGCUAACUCCGUGCCAGCAGCCGCGGUAAUACGGAGGGUGCAAGCGUUAAUCGGAAUUACUGGGCGUAAAGCGCACGCAGGCGGUCUGUCAAGUCGGAUGUGAAAUCCCCGGGCUCAACCUGGGAACUGCAUUCGAAACUGGCAGGCUAGAGUCUUGUAGGGGGAGGUAGAAUUCCAGGUGUAGCGGUGAAAUGCGUAGAGAUCUGGGGGAAUACCGGUGGCGAAGGCGGCCCCCUGGACAAAGACUGACGCUCAGGUGCGAAAGCGUGGGGAGCAAACAGG
rnacentral:rRNA from 1 species